CUCAAACAACGUUCUAAAGACUGUUGACAUCUAGUGGAAGCUUUAGGAAGUGCAAAAUGAACCCAUAGUCACUGUAUACUGGAAAGGCAAAAAAAACAGAGAAAAAUUGAAUCAGGAAGUGGGAGAAUUUAGAAAUGUAGUUUUUGUUUUGAAUCCCUUGGAAAACUUCAGUGACAUAGGAUUUACGUUACACCUCCUAACUCUUCCAUUGGCUGUCAACAAUCUUUAUGAACUGGUUUCAACCGUCAUCUGUUACCGGGCAGAUCAUUUUGGCUCAGUCAAUCAUUGGCCAGUCUGAGGAGAGGUGUCUUAUCAUGCGUGUGUAUGUGACGUCAUCGUUUUUAUAUUUUUCUUCUGGGAUGAAUAGCUAUUGCCCGGUUGUAAAAUUAUCGCAAUUUUACGUUAAAAAAUACCCUAAAGGACAUCGUUUGACGUGUUUCUACAAACGGUAAUGGAACUUUUAACAUUUCGUCUAUGGAUUUGCGUCCACGCCACAUGGCAUUGUAAAGUAUUCUGGAUGGGUCAACAAAACUGACGUAUUUGGACAUAAAUGAUGGUCUUUGCAGAACAAAGGAACAUUUCUUGUGGAUGUGGGUGCCCAUCCGAGUGCAUUCCACCGAAGAUCAGCAAAGGAACCCAGGAAUCCAUAAUAAACACAAAUACAAAUCAUUGACAACACUUGAGGUACGUGUAGUCGAGCUGUUUUCCUUCAGGAAUCUGUGGAGACAUUUGCUGCCCCACAUCUCAAGCACUAAGCCCAGGACAGACCUGUGCUGGCAGUGCCAGAGGAACAACUAUCAGGUCUUCAGAUCUGCCACAAGCUGUGAAGUCAGCCAAGCUGAAGAAGAAAGAGCAGCAUCUCCUGCUUGAUCAGAGUGAGCUGUCUGUCUACCAGAAGAUGGUUGCUGACUGCAAGGCCACCUGUCAAGACCUGUAUGUGACUCUGGGGGCUCCUACUGAACCAGCAAGCAAAGACAUAAGGAUGCUUUACAGCUUUGAUUUUGCUCAACAAGUACACUACCCUUCUGACCCUACGCAGCCAGGUCCCAUCUACUUUUUAACCCCUCACAAGUGUGGCUUGUUUGAUGUCUGAGGUGAAGAAAUACCACAAAAAGUCAACUACCUGAUUGAUGAAGGCAUGUCAUCCAGCAAAGACUGCAGCAUAGUCAUAAUCUACAGUACAUGUACCAUUUCUUCACCAACUAUGGAGUUGGGGAAACAAGUGUGGACUUGAACUGUGAUAACUGCAGUGGCAUAAACAAGAACAAGUUUGUGCUCUGGUAUUGUACCUGGCGGACCAUGCACAGGCUCCACCACAGUCUGGACCUUCACCUCCUGAUCACAGGCCACACCAAGUUUUCCCCCGACUGGUGCUUCAGCCUCAUCAAGCAGCGCUUCAGAAAGCCCAGAGUGAACACUUUGUCUGAGAUUGCUGGUGUUGUGAAGGACAGCACUGUGAAAGGGGUCAGCAUCCCACAGCUGGUUGGACUGGAGUAUGGUACCGUGCUGGUGGAAAGCUAUGGCUGGCAACAACACCUGACUCCGUACUUCAGGCCGCUAACACAGAUCAAGUAGUAACAAUGCAUUGUCUUCGAUGCUCUGGAGACUGGUGUUGUUUUGUUGCCAAGGAGCAUUCGGACUCAGUCAGGACCGGGUUUCAGCUGCUGCGCAACGCUGACAUCCUACCUCCCAUAGAUGGUCUGCCUGUACAAGCACCACCUGGACUGGAUACAGCUAGACAAACUUAUGUUUUUAAGAAGAUCAGGGAGUUUUGCGAUGAAGAGGCUAUGGACAUCACAUGCCUUGCACCAAAGUCAAGGGCAGGACAGAAACAGGCUCUCCGAAUAUAGAUUCCCUUGUUUGGACGGACCUGUCAUCAGCACUAUCUGCAGUGCCUCUAUUCAAUUGACUCUCUCCUAACACACACACCAUACGUUGCUGCUACAAUUUUUUAUCCCGCUGCUCAGCCACUUGACCCGAU
rnacentral:lncRNA from 1 species